GAUGAACGCUGGCGGCGUGCCUAAUACAUGCAAGUCGUACGGAAAGGCCCUUCGGGGUACUCGAGUGGCGGACGGCUGAGUAACGCGUGGGAACGUGCUCCAAAGUGAGGGAUAACGCACCGAAAGGUGUGCUAAUACCGCAUUUGGUCUUCGGAUUAAAGCUUCGGCGCUUUGGGAGCGGCCCGCGUACGAUUAGAUAGUUGGUGAGGUAAUGGCUCACCAAGUCGACGAUCGUUAGCUGGUCUGAGAGGAUGAUCAGCCAGACUGGGACUGAGACACGGCCCAGUCUCCUACGGGAGGCAGCAGUAAGGAAUCUUCCACAAUGGGGGCAACCCUGAUGGAGCAACGCCGCGUGCAGGAUGAAGGUUUUCGGAUCGUAAACUGCUUUUAUAAGUGAAGAAUAUGACGGUAACUUAUGAAUAAGGAUCGGCUAACUACGUGCCAGCAGCCGCAGUAA
rnacentral:rRNA from 1 species